UACGGAGGGUGCAAGCGUUGUCCGGAUUUAUUGGGUUUAAAGGGUGCGUAGGCGGCAUUGUAAGUCAGCGGUGAAAUCCCGGGGCUCAACCCCGGAAUUGCCGUUGAUACUGUGAUGCUUGAGUUCGACCGAGGUCGUUGGAACGCGCAGUGUAGCGGUGAAAUGCUUAGAUAUUGCGCAGAACACCGAUUGCGAAGGCAGAUGGCUAGGUCGCGACUGACGCUGAGGCACGAAAGUGCGGGGAUCAAACAGG
rnacentral:rRNA from 1 species